rnacentral:rRNA from 1 species
GGCCAAUCAAACUUCGUGAUAGCUGGUUCUCUCCGAAAUGCAUUUAGGUGCAGCGUUGCGUGUUUCUUGCCGGAGGUAGAGCUACUGGAUGGACGAUGGGCCCCAAAAGGUUACUGACUUCAGCCAAACUCCGAAUGCCGGUAAGUGAGAGCGCAGCAGUGAGACGGUGGGGGAUAAGCUUCAUCGUCGAGAGGGAAACAACCCAGACCACCAUCUAAGGUCCCUAAGCGCGUGCUAAGUGGGAAAGGAUGUGGAGUUGCAUAGACAACCAGGAGGUUGGCUUAGAAGCAGCCACCCUUGAAAGAGUGCGUAAUAGCUCACUGGUCAAGUGAUUCCGCGCCGACAAUGUAACGGGGCUCAAGCACGCCACCGAAGUUGUGGCAUUUAUAUUAUAGGCAGGCCUUCGUGGUCCAGCCGUAUGGAUGGGUAGGAGAGCGUCGUGUGGCCAGCGAAGCGGCGGUGUGAACCAGCCGUGGAGGCCACACGAGUGAGAAUGCAGGCAUGAGUAGCGAAAGACGGGUGAGAAACCCGUCCUCCGAAAGACCAAGGGUUCCAGGGCCAGGCUAAUCCGCCCUGGGUAAGUCGGGACCUAAGGCGAGGCCGACAGGCGUAGUCGAUGGACAACGGGUUGAUAUUCCCGUACCGAUGAAGAACCGCCCAAGACAAUCCAGUAAUGCUAAGUGUCUGAAUCCUUGAUUCGAUCCCUUCGGGGUGACGGUCUUGGCCUAGCACACGACCCUACGCUGGGGCGUUUAGCGUAUUAACAGGUGUGACGCAGGAAGGUAGCUGAGCCGGGCGAUGGUUGUCCCGGUCUAAGGAUGUAGGGCAGAAGAUAGGCAAAUCCGUCUUCUAUGUAGCCUGAGACCCGAUGGGUAGUCCUCACGGACGAAAUCAGUGAUCCUAUGCUGCCGAGAAAAGCAUCGACGCGAGGUUCCAAUCGCCCGUACCCCAAACCGACUCAGGUGGUCAGGUAGAGAAUACUAAGGAGAUCGAGAGAAUCGUGGUUAAGGAACUCGGCAAAAUGCCCCCGUAACUUCGGGAGAAGGGGGGCCUGAGGCGUGUAGGGAUUUACUCCUGAAGCGUUUGAAGGCCGCAGAGACCAGUGGGAAGCGACUGUUUACUAAAAACACAGGUCCGUGCUAAGUCGCAAGACGAUGUAUACGGACUGACGCCUGCCCGGUGCUGGAAGGUUAAGAGGAACGGUUAGCACGCAAGUGCGAAGCUGAGAAUUUAAGCCCCAGUAAACGGCGGUGGUAACUAUAACCAUCCUAAGGUAGCGAAAUUCCUUGUCGGGUAAGUUCCGACCUGCACGAAUGGCGUAACGACUUCCCAGCUGUCUCAACCGCGAACUCGGCGAAAUUGCACUACGAGUAAAGAUGCUCGUUACGCGCAGCAGGACGGAAAGACCCCGUGACCUUUACUACAGCUUGGUAUUGGUGUUCGGUGUGGCUUGUGUAGGAUAGGUGGGAGACUGUGAAGCUCGGACGCUAGUUCGGGUGGAGUCAUUGUUGAAAUACCACUCUGGUCACUCUGGAUAUCUAACUUCGAACCGUAAUCCGGUUCAGGGACAGUGCCUGGUGGGUAGUUUAACUGGGGCGGUUGCCUCCUAAAGAGUAACGGAGGCGCCCAAAGGUUCCCUCAACCUGGUUGGUAAUCAGGUGUCGAGUGUAAGUGCACAAGGGAGCUUGACUGUGAGACUGACAAGUCGAGCAGGGACGAAAGUCGGGACUAGUGAUCCGGCAGUGGCUUGUGGAAGCGCUGUCGCUCAACGGAUAAAAGGUACCUCGGGGAUAACAGGCUGAUCUUGCCCAAGAGUCCAUAUCGACGGCAUGGUUUGGCACCUCGAUGUCGGCUCGUCGCAUCCUGGGGCUGGAGUAGGUCCCAAGGGUUGGGCUGUUCGCCCAUUAAAGCGGUACGCGAGCUGGGUUUAGAACGUCGUGAGACAGUUCGGUCCCUAUCCGCUGCGCGCGUAGGAAAUUUGAGAAGAUCUAUCCCUAGUACGAGAGGACCGGGAUGGACGAACCUCUGGUGUGUCAGUUGUUCCGCCAGGAGCACCGCUGAUUAGCUACGUUCGGAACGGAUAACCGCUGAAAGCAUCUAAGCGGGAAGCCGGCUUCGAGAUGAGAUUUCCAUCCCUUUUGGGGUGAAGGCUCCCGGCUAGACUACCGGGUUGAUAGGCAGGAUGUGGAAGCGGGGACUAAAGACUCGUGGAGCUGACCUGUACUAAUAAGCCGAUAUCUUGAAAAC